rnacentral:rRNA from 2 species
UACGUAGGAUGCAAGCGUUAUCCGGAAUGACUGGGCGUAAAGGGUGCGUAGGUGGUUUGUCAAGUUGGCAGCGUAAUUCCGUGGCUUAACCGCGGAACUACUGCCAAAACUGAUAGGCUUGAGUGCGGCAGGGGUAUGUGGAAUUCCUAGUGUAGCGGUGGAAUGCGUAGAUAUUAGGAGGAACACCGGUGGCGAAAGCGACAUACUGGGCCGUAACUGACACUGAAGCACGAAAGCGUGGGGAGCAAACAGG